rnacentral:rRNA from 1 species
AUUGAACGCUGGCGGCAUGCUUUACACAUGCAAGUCGAACGGUAACAGGGUAAGCUAACGAGUGGCGAACGGUUGAGUAAUGCAUCGGAACGUGCCCGACCGGGGGGGAUAACGCAGCGAAAGCUGCGCUGAUACCGCAUCCGAUCUGCGGAUGAAAGCGGGGGACCGUAAGGCCUCGCGCGAUCGGAACAGCCUAUGGUCGAUUAGGUAGUUGGUGGGGUAAAGGCUCACGAAGCCGACGAUCUGUAGCUGGUCUGAGAGGACGACCAGCCACACUGGGACUGAGACACGGCCCAGACUCCUACGGGAGGCAGCAGUGGGGAAUUUUGGACAAUGGGCGAAAGCCUGAUCCAGCAAUGCCGCGUGCAGGAAGAAGGCCUUCGGGUUGUAAACUGCUUUUGUACGGAGCGAAAAGGCUCUCUCUAAUACAGGGGGCUCAUGACGGUACCGUAAGAAUAAGCACCGGCUAACUACGUGCCAGCAGCCGCAGUAA